GUCCGACUUAUUUUAAGUUAGGUGUGUUGAACAACAAAAAUAUACAACAUAAAAAAAAAUAGAGUCCAUACAAAUUGGGUCAGACUACAAGCCAAAACAAAGAUGUAAACCAGCCCAAAAAGUUAAGAAUGGGCCUUACAUACAAAACAAGAUCCAGAAAUAAACAAAUAAAAAAAAUAAAUAUGAAUUUCUUCCUACAAAAGGGGGGAAGAAAAAACGUGCAACACAGAAACCUCCUAUCUCUCUGCAAAACGUGAAAAAAAACUGCACUAGUCGUGGGAGAGGUUAAGUAAAAGUGGCAGGAGUUCAUGGCCUCCAAAUUUCCCCACGUAACAAAUCCUAGAGCUUUCCUAGGAUGCCUAUAAAUAGGCAUCACCUGCAGCAAGAGGGGGAGACAAAAAAAAAGGGGGGGAAACUCUGCAGAAAAUAAGAAGCAACUUUUAGAGAAAAUACCAAAAGCAACAAGGUGAUGCUAGGAAAGAGAGCAAGCUAUUCAACCAUUUUGUGCUUUUGAAUCAAGAUCCAAAAGAAGAACAUUCAUCACCAGGUAUGAAGCAAGUUCUUUUAAAAUUAUUCUUUUUCUCUAGUUUGAUGUUAUGUUGCAAGAAGAACAAAAAAAUUGCGGCAGCAAACACAAAAAUAAAAAGCUGCAAUGAAUGAGGAAAGGGAAACAAGCAAGAGCAUAUAAGACCUUUGCCUCUUUGUUUGGCGUUCUUCACCAAUUAAAUGGAGUUGGAGACUCUAAAUAUCCACCGACUCCCCAGCUGCAGCAGAGAUAAUCUAAGAAUCCCAUGAAUUUCUUCGGGGUGGCCUAGAGCACCCCGUGAAAUUUUAACCAAAGUUUAAAUAGUCUACUCCUUCGCCAGAUUGUCAAGUGCAAUUUCAAAGCUCUAAGCUUAAGUUCCCGAGAAAUAAGACAGCAAGGAGUCAACAUAUACAAAGAUGCAACUCAAGAAAGAGAAAAGAAAUUAUUCUAUUUGGUGUUUUUGUUUUUGCUACCCACGGGUACAAAACAUGGAGGAUGGCUUUGGCUAAAAACUCUACUAAAACCAUUGGGGAUAAAGAGUCCAAGGAAAAGGAAAAGUCGGAAAAGAGGAUGUCUCCCUUUAUAUUUAUAAAGCUCCAGCAAAGUUGAUGAUGUUUGUUCAAGUGUUUCCAAGGUGGACCAAAGUUAAAGCAUGGGACUUCACCAAAAGAAAAAGCAUGGGACAAGUGGCUGUUGUGUUUGGAAAAAUGGUGCAGCUAUAUUUAGGGAAGCAUGCCAUGUAAAACACUCCGAACACCAAACUAUAUUUUCUCAUGGGUACUGACAUUAGCUAUACUCAAAGGUAGCUGUCAUGUUUGAAAAAAGGAGCAGCUAGGUUGGAAGAAACAUGCCGUGUAAAACACUUCAAAUAUCAAACUAUAUUUACUCAUGGAUACUGAGGAAAAAAUGUUAUGGAUGACUAAUGUUGAUAAGAAAGAAAAGCAAGCAGACUACCAUGAGCAUGGCUAUUUUAAAACCACUCACAUGACAUUCAAAUGGAAAAGCAUCGAAGGCAACACACAAAUAGAAAAAAAAAAAAAAAAGAAAUGGGUGCGUUACUACAAAUUUCAGGGGGGGUGGUAAUUCCCACCUUUGGAGCCAUGAAUCAACAAUUGUCUUCAGCAAACUCGGUACUGCAAAUAGUGUGUCCAACAACCAAGCCUGCGACGACUGCACAAAAAAAUUUAUCACGGUUCAGAGCAGCUUCAACCCACACCAAAUCAAGUACAGAAAAUAGAAAACAAAAAAAAAAUGGAAUGACCUGCUGGUUAUUUUCUCCUUUUCGCUCUGAAUUUUCAAUACACAAGAGAAGCAUAAGCAAGAUGGUACAACAAAAAGAAAAGAAAGCCCGUGGCCUGUAUAAAUAGGUCUCUAUGGUUUAAAGGGAAAAGAAGAUAAAUUAGAACAAAUCAAAAGAGUUUGAAUUCCGCCAACCUUACCCAUUCUUACUCUGAAAUCCACGGAUACCCAAUCCAAAUAGAAGUUUGAAAUGCAACGAAGUCCACAGAAGUCCAAAUAUAGCGGAAUAGUCGCUUGCUUCUAGAGGAAAACCACCAGAUUUCAAAGCCAAGGGAAAGAGGAUCGUUGAAGCCAUCUUACUGGGGGGAUGAGGAUGCUAAAUCCUCAAAAUCAUCAAGGAGAGGCACGGCAGGCAUAGAAAAUCAAAGCAUAAAAAAAAAGGAUAAAAGCAAGGGACCUAAAACUUAAAAAGGCAUGCCAAGGGAAAGAGGAUCGUUGAAGCCAUCUUACUGGGGGAUGAGGAUGCUAAAUCCUCAAAAUUAUCAAGGAGAGGCACAGCAGGCACAGAAAAUCAAAGCAUAAAAAAAAAAAAAAGGAUAAAAGCAGGGGAACUAAAUCCUAAAAAGGCAUUUAUAAAAAAUGGUACUUUACCGCUUGCUUUUAUUAAAUAAAGCAAAGACUUGCUUUGCUACUAUACUGCCCAGUUUGUGUCAGGCAUGAGCACAAGAUAGAAUGAGUUUCAAGACAAAGUAAAUGAAGGCAAAUACAAGAAAGAAAGGUUGCUCAUCACGUGG
rnacentral:lncRNA from 1 species